UACGGAGGGGGCUAGCGUUGUUCGGAAUUACUGGGCGUAAAGGGCGCGCAGGCGGCUGCUCAAGUCAGGCGUGAAAGGCCUGGGCUCAACCCGGGAAUUGCGCUUGAGACUGGGCUGGCUUGAGUGCGGGAGAGGAUGGUGGAAUUCCCAGUGUAGAGGUGAAAUUCGUAGAUAUUGGGAAGAACACCAGCGGCGAAAGCGCGCUACUGGACCACAACUGACGCUGAGGUACGAAAGCUAGGGGAGCGAAUGGG
rnacentral:rRNA from 1 species